GAAACAUUGAUUUUUGUGCUGAAUUCUCCAAUUCCAGCACCUGGUUUUUGCGUGUCAUCUUUUCUUUCGAGAGCGUCGUCGCCGUCGGACAUGUAUCUCGUUGUAUGGCGGUUCCUCACCAACCUAGUUGAAGGCAAAAGUCAUUUGGAUAUUUUAGGUAUUUGGUAGUCAGGGUGCGAUCAUUCAAGAUUUCUAGUCGUACCUGACUGGUACGCCAAUGGUCGUUGCCGUGUACUUGCGCUGGAACAAACUCAGUACUUAAUGUGUACUUAGUCUUUAAAAUAACUAAUAAGGUUCAUAAAGUACAGGUUUCUGAAAAGUAUGUUCAGACUACGAGGUAGCAAACGGAGUUUUGCUAUUUGAAAAGGGUGUUUUGCUAUUUAAAAAGGGUGUUUUGCUAUUUGAAAAGGGAGUUUUGCUAUUUGAAAAGGGAGUUUUGCUAUUUGAAAAGGGUGUUUUGCUAUUUGAAAAGGGAG